rnacentral:rRNA from 1 species
CAUGGAGGGUGAGAAUCCCGUUCGGUUAACCAAAGCGCUUUACGAUACGCUUUCAAAGAGUCAAGUUGUUUGGGAUUGCAGCUUAAAAUGGGAGGUAAAUUUCUCCUAAGGCUAAAUAUUGGCGAGAGACCGAUAGCGAACAAGUACCGUGAGGGAAAGAUGAAAAGAACUUUGAAAAGAGAGUUAAACAGUACGUGAAAUUGUUGAAAGGGAAACGAUUAAAGUCAGUCGUACCUACGAGUAAUCAACCUACUCGAGUGCGAUUUUGUGGGUAUGUUAGAGCUUAAAAACCUUCAUGCUUACAAAUUGGUGCUCUUUGGGCGUACUUUCUCGUAUGGUAGGUUAACAUCAAUUUCGAUCGUUAUAAAAUGACUGGAGGAAUGUAGCUUCGACCUCGGUUGAAGUGUUAUAGCCUUUGGUAGAUGUAAUGAUUGGGAUUGAGGAUUGCAACGGAUACCCUCUGGGCUAUUCGUCUGAUCUCUGGAAGUUACCUUGGUGUCGAAAGCGUGCUUACGAUAUUAAGGUUGACGGCCAAUAGGUUAGAACGUGAUUAAAUUCGUUAAGGAUGUUGACGUAAUGG